rnacentral:tRNA from 1 species
GGAGAGAUGGCCGAGCUGGUCGAAGGCGGUUGAUUCGAAAUCAACUGAGCGCAUUGCGCGCUCCGGGGGUUCGAAUCCCUCUCUCUCCGCCA